rnacentral:rRNA from 1 species
UCCGUAGGUGAACCUGCGGAGGGAUCAUUAACGAGUUAUCCAAACUCCAAACCUUUGUGAACAUUACCGAUCGUUGCUUCGGCAGGCGGCUCCGGGGGAGCACGAGGCCAUUCUGUGGCGCCUGCCGAAAGCCCCCCAAACUCUUUUUUUCUGGUAAAUUACCUGAGUAACCAAACAAACAAGUAAAAACUUUCAACAACGGAUCUCUUGGUUCUGGCAUCGAUGAAGAACGCAGCGAAAUGCGAUAAGUAAUGUGAAUUGCAGAGUUCAGUGAAUCAUCGAAUCUUUGAACGCACAUUGCGCCCGUUAGUAUUCUGACGGGCAUGCCUGUUCGAGCGUCAUUUCAACCCUCAAGCACCGCUUGGCGUUGGCGGGCUACAGCGCUUUUAGUGCCGUAGCCGCCCAAAUACAUUGGCGGUCCCGCCGUGGCUCCCCUUGCGUAGUAACUCACCUCGCACCGGGUCCAGGCGGCGGCCUGCCGUAAAACUCUUA